GAUGAAGAACGUAGCGAAAUGCGAUAAGUAAUGUGAAUUGCAGAAUUCAGUGAAUCAUCGAAUCUUUGAACGCACAUUGCGCCCGCCAGUAUUCUGGCGGGCAUGCCUGUCUGAGCGUCAUUUCAACCCUCAUGCCCCUAGGGCGUGGUGUUGGGGAUCGGCCAAAGCCCGCGAGGGACGGCCGGCCCCUAAAUCUAGUGGCGGACCCGUCGUGGCCUCCUCUGCGAAGUAGUGAUAUUCCGCAUCGGAGAGCGACGAGCCCCUGCCGUUAGACCCCCAACUUUCCAAGGUUGACCUCAGAUCAGGUAGGAAUACCCGCUGAACUUAAGCAUAUCAAUAAGCGGAGGA
rnacentral:misc_RNA from 1 species